rnacentral:ncRNA from 2 species
GACAUCGGACAGGGAGAACCGGCCGCGCGCCGGUGCCGAAGGAGCAACCGCCCCGGAAACUCUCAGGCCAAAAGGGACCUGCCGGUAUCG